rnacentral:lncRNA from 1 species
GACAAGAUUUUGACUCCUUCUGGAAUCCAGAAAUAGGAAUACCAAGAAUACUGAGCCCAUCUUCUAAUGCAGAUUCAUGGCAAAAAUGGAUCAAACAGCCUAGGAUUUUCAAGGAAUUAAGAAAUGGUAACACUUGAAAACCAUGUUGAAGGUGAGGAAAUCUUGGCAGGCUCAACAACAUCAUUUUCCUUUGAGAAACAACACCAGUGUUUGGAAAUCCCAGAAGAUGUCUCAAGAUUAUAACACCCUUGAGAAAAUGAGCUCAUUUUUCGUCAUAUCAAAAAUAAAUCAGAUACGUGCAUGUACUUUAUUGUUCUAAAUGAAGAAUUUUGUGCACUCAGAAAAUAAAAGUAAGUAUGUGAAAAAUACUCUGUGCAUAGCAUAUACUUGACAAAUGUUAGCUGUGACGAUUAACCCCUAUAUAACAUUAGAGGAAA